CCGGUCUUCUGUGCAUCACAUUAACACCCCUUAAUAUAAGUUAACCUGUUUAACCUCAUUUAAGUAUACUUUAUAGAAACACCUAAGAAUUACCCUGAAAAGGCCAUUUGAAAAUCAUUAAAUAAACCCCCCCCCAAAAAAGAAGUGGCUCCGCCGCGUACCUUUUGUAUCAUGGUCUAACCAAUUAAAAGGCCUAAAAGCCUUUACCCGAACGGUGGUGAUCUACUCUUCUUAGCAAGGCUCACAAGCUUGUGCCCACCGUCUCCCGUUGCAAAGGGUCCGGAAGAAAGAAGAGUUGAAGUGAAAUGCUAACCGCACCACCUGAUAGCUGGUAGGCUGUAAAACAGGUUUUAGCCUCAUUAACCAAAACACUCUUAUGGUUAAAAAAGAGUUAAGAGGAUGAGCCCUUAACUCAAGACAGAAACAACUGCAAAUCGAAUAAGGCCACAAACAACAAUACCCAUUAAUUGUAGGCUUUAAAGCAGCCAUCAAAACAAUCGCGUUAUAGCCUAUAUAAAAUACCCCCACCAAUAAUUGACCCCAAAGCCAAAUUUAAAAUAACAGACCCUUCUUUCCUCUCCAAGAAAUAACAAUGUUAGAACUAGUAAAUACCAAAACACCCGAUCUCUAACCAUGGAUGAGGCAAACCCAAUAUUCUUGUUUCAAAACCCCUUAAACAGAUCGUCAACCCCAAGAAAAAGGCUUUUAAGGAACUCGGCAAACAUCGACUUCGCCUGUUUACCAAAAACAUCGCUCCGCGAAAACCCUGUAUGCGGAGUAUCGUCUGCCCGGUGAGUAAAUUCAACGGCCGCGGUAUCCUAACCGUGCUAAGGUAGCGCAAUCACUAGUUACUUAAAUAGUAACAUGUAUGAAAGACAUCACGAGAGUUGAGCUGUCUCAAAAGCCCUUAAUUAAAUCUUAUCUUUUUGUUAAAAAGCAAAAAUAAAAGCGUUAGACGAGAAGACCCUGUCGAACUUAAGCUUAACAUAACUUAGUCAAGGGGUAAGCAGCUCUGCUUAAAUACAAUAACUAAUUGCAACACCCCUUUCCCCUGGCUAUGCUUAUUCUACACUUUGGUUGGGGCAACCGCGGAAAACACAACACCCGCAUUGAAAUGUUACAAAACUAUAAGUUAACAACCGUUCUACAGUCAACCCAUGAUCCAAGAAAUUGAACAAUAAAUAAAGUUACCGCAGGGAUAACAGCGUAAUCCCUCUAUAAAGUCCAUAUUGCCAGAGGGGUUUGCGACCUCGAUGUUGGAUCAGGGAAACUGGGCAGUGCAACCGCUGCCGCAAGUUGGUCUGUUCGACCAUUAAACCCCUACGUGAUCUGAGUUCAAACCGGCGCGAGCCAGGUUGGUUUCUAUCUUCGCAAUUUAAUUCUUUUAGUACGAAAGGACCAAAGAAUACAAGUUUCAAACUUGAAAAAAUGCUUGACCUCAACUAAAGCAA
rnacentral:rRNA from 1 species